rnacentral:rRNA from 1 species
AUUGAACGCUGGCGGCAGGCCUAACACAUGCAAGUCGAGCGAGAAAGGUCUUCGGACUGAGUACAGCGGCGGACGGGUGAGUAAAGCGUAGGAAUCUACCUGGUAGUGGGGGGAUAACUUGGGGAAACUCAAACUAAUACCGCAUACGCCCUACGGGGAAAGCGGGGGACCGUUCGGGCCUCGCGCUAUCAGAUGAGCCUGCGUAGGAUUAGCUAGUUGGUGAGGUAAAGGCUCACCAAGGCGACGAUCCUUAGCUGGUCUGAGAGGAUGAUCAGCCACACUGGGACUGAGACACGGCCCAGACUCCUACGGGAGGCAGCAGUGGGGAAUAUUGCGCAAUGGGCGAAAGCCUGACGCAGCCAUGCCGCGUGUGUGAAGAAGGCCUUAGGGUUGUAAAGCUCUUUUGUCCGGAAAGAAAAGCAUCUGGUUAAUACCCGGGUGUUCUGACGGUACCGGAAGAAUAAGCACCGGCCAACUUCGUG